ACGGGUGAGUAAUGUCUGGGGAUCUGCCCGAUAGAGGGGGAUAAUCACUGGAAACGGUGGCUAAUACCGCAUAACGUCGCAAGACCAAAGAGGGGGACCUUCGGGCCUCUCACUAUCGGAUGAACCCAGAUGGGAUUAGCUAGUAGGCGGGGUAACGGCCCACCUAGGCGACGAUCCCUAGCUGGUCUGAGAGGAUGACCAGCCACACUGGAACUGAGACACGGUCCAGACUCCUACGGGAGGCAGCAGUGGGGAAUAUUGCACAAUGGGCGCAAGCCUGAUGCAGCCAUGCCGCGCGUAUGAAGAAGGCCUUCGGGUUGUAAAGUACUUUCAGCGGGGAGGAAGGCGAUAAGGUUAAUAACCUUGUCGAUUGACGUUACCCGCAGAAGAAGCACCGGCUAACUCCGUGCCAGCAGCCGCGGUAAUACGGAGGGUGCAAGCGUUAAUCGGAAUUACUGGGCGUAAAGCGCACGCAGGCGGUCUGUUAAGUCAGAUGUGAAAUCCCCGGGCUUAACCUGGGAACUGCAUUUGAAACUGGCAGGCUUGAGUCUCGUAGAGGGGGGUAGAAUUCCAGGUGUAGC
rnacentral:rRNA from 1 species